rnacentral:rRNA from 1 species
AUUGAACGCUGGCGGCAGGCCUAACACAUGCAAGUCGAACGGUAACAGGAAGCAGCUUGCUGCUUUGCUGACGAGUGGCGGACGGGUGAGUAAUGUCUGGGAAACUGCCUGAUGGAGGGGGAUAACUACUGGAAACGGUAGCUAAUACCGCAUAACGUCGCAAGACCAAAGAGGGGGACCUACGGGCCUCUUGCCAUCGGAUGUGCCCAGAUGGGAUUAGCUUGUUGGUGGGGUAACGGCUCACCAAGGCGACGAUCCCUAGCUGGUCUGAGAGGAUGACCAGCCACACUGGAACUGAGACACGGUCCAGACUCCUACGGGAGGCAGCAGUGGGGAAUAUUGCACAAUGGGCGCAAGCCUGAUGCAGCCAUGCCGCGUGUAUGAAGAAGGCCUUCGGGUUGUAAAGUACUUUCAGCGGGGAGGAAGGGAGUAAAGUUAAUACCUUUACUCAUUGACGUUACCCGCAGAAGAAGCACCGGCUAACUCCGUG